GCUUGAUGUAAUGGAGUGGGACACUCUUGGAGCUGUCUGCAAGAAUCACCAUUGGACUCUGGUGGCCAUGGAGGGAAGGGUUUUGUUCAUUGAUCCAUUUGGCGCUACUCCCAAUCAAUUGAAACAUUGAAGGGAUGCUACAAGGGCUUUCAUGCGGGGAAAAAACUGAAUUUAUCAAGAUGGAUAAGCCACUGUCUCGCAUCCCCCUCGGCAAGAUUCGACAUCCUGUGGAGUGCUGGUAUGCAAAAUAGCCGAGCUGCUCUUGACUGAGGGCAACAUUGACUUCGCCGUGGACAACGUUAGCGUCAACAAUUUACGAGCCGAAAUAGCCAGUAGGCUGGUGCAUGAGUUUGGUAAGCAUACAUCUAAACCCAACUGAACAUGUUCCGAGACUAAACCCACUAAAUUGGAAUAUCUUUUAAUAAACAACCUGAAGGACCUGUGCUCUGUAUGUGGUGAAGAGGACUCUCUGGUGAGGGACACCUCAGAACCAUCUAUAGAGCGUAUUCACGUGACGUCAGCAUCUCAAUCGCGCCAUCUUGGGGUCCACUUAUUAAAUGUCAGUCAGAAGAAGUUGACCCAUCGUGCCCGCUGUUUGAUUAUGCGAGAGCCCAGCAACCUCAUGUCCUUCUGCAUUACCAAAGAAAGAUUUCAGCGGUUGGAAUUGAAUAUUCGCAACGCUUUUUUACCUGAUUUUACUCGCUCAACACUUUGUGGUUAAUUCGCUAGUUACCCCUAGUUACCAGCACAUAGCCCGGUCACAUUCCUGUAAAACAGUUUUCAUUUCCGCUAUCGACCAUGGGACAUUAACAACUAUUUCUGCGUUAUACUUGUUGUAGAAAUACCACAAAUGUCGGAUCAUCAAGAGCCCCGUGUCUGGGUUCAUAUCUGAUCCGUAGUCGCACAGCUCCGCCUCCAGGACGAGUGUCUGGAUG